rnacentral:rRNA from 1 species
CACGUAGGGUGCGAGCGUUGUCCGGAAUUAUUGGGCGUAAAGAGCUCGUAGGCGGUGUGUCGCGUCGGCCGUGAAAACCUGCAGCUUAACUGUGGGCUUGCGGUCGAUACGGGCAUCACUGGAGUUCGGCAGGGGAGACUGGAAUUCCUGGUGUAGCGGUGAAAUGCGUAGAUAUCGGGAGGAACACCAGUGGCGAAGGCGAGUCUCUGGGAUGAUGCUGACGCUGAGGCGCGAAAGCCAGGGGAGCAAACGGG